rnacentral:rRNA from 1 species
ACGCUGGCGGCGUGCCUAACACAUGCAAGUCGAACGGGAAUCUUCGGAUUCUAGUGGCGGACGGGUGAGUAACGCGUAAGAAUCUAACUUCAGGACGGGGACAACAGUUGGAAACGACUGCUAAUACCCGAUGUGCCGAAAGGUGAAACCUAAUUGGCCUGAAGAAGAGCUUGCGUCUGAUUAGCUAGUUGGUGGGGUAAAGGCCUACCAAGGCGACGAUCAGUAGCUGGUCUGAGAGGAUGAGCAGCCACACUGGGACUGAGACACGGCCCAGACUCCUACGGGAGGCAGCAGUGGGGAAUUUUCCGCAAUGGGCGAAAGCCUGACGGAGCAACGCCGCGUGAGGGAGGAAGGUCUUUGGAUUGUAAACCUCUUUUCUCAAGGAAGAAGUUCUGACGGUACUUGAGGAAUCAGCCUCGGCUAACUCCGUGCCAGCAGCCGCGGUAAUACGGGGGAGGCAAGCGUUAUCCGGAAUUAUUGGGCGUAAAGCGUCCGCAGGUGGUCAGCCAAGUCUGCCGUCAAAUCAGGUUGCUUAACGACCUAAAGGCGGUGGAAACUGGCAGACUAGAGAGCAGUAGGGGUAGCAGGAAUUCCCAGUGUAGCGGUGAAAUGCGUAGAGAUUGGGAAGAACAUCGGUGGCGAAAGCGUGCUACUGGGCUGUAUCUGACACUCAGGGACGAAAGCUAGGGGAGCGAAAGGGAUUAGAUACCCCUGUAGUCCUAGCCGUAAACGAUGGAUACUAGGCGUGGCUUGUAUCGAC